AUAGGACUCCCUUCUGUAAGGCUGCCACCACCAUUGACAGGAGUUCAUCCCAAAAGAAGUGGCUGCAGUUCUACUGAACUUGGGACAGCACCUUGGAUUUCGACGGAUCCUUGACUCCUGGCCUACAAUGAGGCUGCGCACGUUUACGGACCUUAGUUUCCUGACUAUCAUUAUACUGAACAUAGCUUGGACGGUGGCUGAAGAUGAACUGGCAACCCAACAGCCAGCUGCGAACCAAACUGAUGACUGCCUGACGACGAGUCAAAUGACACAAGAACCUGGAGGCAGGAUGCUUCAACG